rnacentral:rRNA from 1 species
UGCAAGUCGAGCGAAGCUUUUCAGUAGUUUACUACAGAAAAUGACUGAGCGGCGAACGGGUGAGUAACGCGUGAGCAAUCUACCUUAGUUACAGGGAUAGCCCGAGGAAACUCGGAUUAAUACCUGAUAUUCUUUAUAUUUCGCAUGAAAUUAAAAGGAAAGGUCAGCCGAACUAAGAUGGGCUCGCGUUCUAUCAGCUAGUUGGUGAGGUAAAAGCUCACCAAGGCUACGACGGAUAGCUGGUCUGAGAGGACGAUCAGCCACACUGGGACUGAGACACGGCCCAGACUCCUACGGGAGGCUGCAGCAGGGAAUAUUGUACAAUGAACGAAAGUUUGACACAGCGACACCGCGUGUGGGAUGACGGAUCUAGGUUUGUAAACCACUUUCAGGAGGGAAGAAAAUGACGGUACCUCCACAAGAAGCCCCGGCCAACUACGUGCCAGCAGCCGCGGUAAUACGUAGGGGGCGAGCGUUGUCCGGAUUUAUUGGGCGUAAAGAGCUCGUAGGCGGUUCAACAAGUCGUUCGUGAAAGUUCAGGGCUCAACCCUGAAAUGUCGAUCGAUACUGUUGUGACUAGGAUACGGUAGAGGUGAGUGGAAUUCCGAGUGUAGCGGUGAAAUGCGUAGAUAUUCGGAGGAACACCAAUCGCGAAGGCAGCUCACUGGGCCGCUAUCGACGCUGAGGAGCGAAAGCUAGGGGAGCAAACAGGAUUAGAUACCCUGGUAGUCCUAGCUGUAAACGAUGGAUACUAGACGUAGGAACUGGAUUGACGGUUUCUGUGUCGCAGCUAACGCGUUAAGUAUCCCGCCUGGGGAGUACGGUCGCAAGACUAAAACUCAAAGGAAUUGACGGGACCCCGCACAAGCGGCGGAGCAUGCGGCUUAAUUCGAUGAUACCCGUAGAACCUUA